rnacentral:rRNA from 1 species
GGUUAAGCGACUAAGCGUACACGGUGGAUGCCCUGGCAGUCAGAGGCGAUGAAGGACGUGCUAAUCUGCGAUAAGCGUCGGUAAGGUGAUAUGAACCGUUAUAACCGGCGAUUUCCGAAUGGGGAAACCCAGUGUGUUUCGACACACUAUCAUUAACUGAAUCCAUAGGUUAAUGAGGCGAACCGGGGGAACUGAAACAUCUAAGUACCCCGAGGAAAAGAAAUCAACCGAGAUUCCCCCAGUAGCGGCGAGCGAACGGGGAGCAGCCCAGAGCCUGAAUCAGUGUGUGUGUUAGUGGAAGCGUCUGGAAAGGCGCGCGAUACAGGGUGACAGCCCCGUACACAAAAAUGCACAUGCUGUGAGCUCGAUGAGUAGGGCGGGACACGUGGUAUCCUGUCUGAAUAUGGGGGGACCAUCCUCCAAGGCUAAAUACUCCUGACUGACCGAUAGUGAACCAGUACCGUGAGGGAAAGGCGAAAAGAACCCCGGCGAGGGGAGUGAAAAAGAACCUGAAACCGUGUACGUACAAGCAGUGGGAGCACGCUUAGGCGUGUGACUGCGUACCUUUUGUAUAAUGGGUCAGCGACUUAUAUUCUGUAGCAAGGUUAACCGAAUAGGGGAGCCGAAGGGAAACCGAGUCUUAACUGGGCGUUAAGUUGCAGGGUAUAGACCCGAAACCCGGUGAUCUAGCCAUGGGCAGGUUGAAGGUUGGGUAACACUAACUGGAGGACCGAACCGACUAAUGUUGAAAAAUUAGCGGAUGACUUGUGGCUGGGGGUGAAAGGCCAAUCAAACCGGGAGAUAGCUGGUUCUCCCCGAAAGCUAUUUAGGUAGCGCCUCGUGAAUUCAUCUCCGGGGGUAGAGCACUGUUUCGGCAAGGGGGUCAUCCCGACUUACCAACCCGAUGCAAACUGCGAAUACCGGAGAAUGUUAUCACGGGAGACACACGGCGGGUGCUAACGUCCGUCGUGAAGAGGGAAACAACCCAGACCGCCAGCUAAGGUCCCAAAGUCAUGGUUAAGUGGGAAACGAUGUGGGAAGGCCCAGACAGCCAGGAUGUUGGCUUAGAAGCAGCCAUCAUUUAAAGAAAGCGUAAUAGCUCACUGGUCGAGUCGGCCUGCGCGGAAGAUGUAACGGGGCUAAACCAUGCACCGAAGCUGCGGCAGCGACGCUGAUGCGUUGUUGGGUAGGGGAGCGUUCUGUAAGCCUGCGAAGGUGUGCUGUGAGGCAUGCUGGAGGUAUCAGAAGUGCGAAUGCUGACAUAAGUAACGAUAAAGCGGGUGAAAAGCCCGCUCGCCGGAAGACCAAGGGUUCCUGUCCAACGUUAAUCGGGGCAGGGUGAGUCGACCCCUAAGGCGAGGCCGAAAGGCGUAGUCGAUGGGAAACAGGUUAAUAUUCCUGUACUUGGUGUUACUGCGAAGGGGGGACGGAGAAGGCUAUGUUGGCCGGGCGACGGUUGUCCCGGUUUAAGCGUGUAGGCUGGUUUUCCAGGCAAAUCCGGAAAAUCAAGGCUGAGGCGUGAUGACGAGGCACUACGGUGCUGAAGCAACAAAUGCCCUGCUUCCAGGAAAAGCCUCUAAGCAUCAGGUAACAUCAAAUCGUACCCCAAACCGACACAGGUGGUCAGGUAGAGAAUACCAAGGCGCUUGAGAGAACUCGGGUGAAGGAACUAGGCAAAAUGGUGCCGUAACUUCGGGAGAAGGCACGCUGAUAUGUAGGUGAAGCGACUUGCUCGUGGAGCUGAAAUCAGUCGAAGAUACCAGCUGGCUGCAACUGUUUAUUAAAAACACAGCACUGUGCAAACACGAAAGUGGACGUAUACGGUGUGACGCCUGCCCGGUGCCGGAAGGUUAAUUGAUGGGGUCAGCGCA